AUACGGAGGGUGCAAGCGUUGUUCGGAAUCACUGGGCGUAAAGGGCGCGCAGGCGGUUUGGUAAGUCAGACGUGAAAGCCCAUGGCUCAACCAUGGAAGUGCAUUUGAAACUGUCAGACUUGAGUACUAGAGGGGAAAGUGGAAUUCCCGGUGUAGAGGUGAAAUGCGUAGAUAUCGGGAGGAAUACCGGUGGCGAAGGCGACUUUCUGGCUAGAUACUGACGCUGAGGCGCGAAAGCGUGGGGAGCAAACAGGAUUAGAUACCCCAGUAGUCC
rnacentral:rRNA from 1 species